rnacentral:rRNA from 1 species
UACGUAGGGGGCAAGCGUUGUCCGGAUUUAUUGGGCGUAAAGAGCGUGUAGGCGGUUUGGUAGGUCCGCUGUGAAAACUCGAGGCUCAACCUCGAGACGCCGGUGGAAACCAUCAGGCUAGAGUCCGGAAGAGGAGAGUGGAAUUCCUGGUGUAGCGGUGAAAUGCGUAGAUAUCAGGAGGAACACCUGCGGUGUAGACGGCUUACUGGACCAUGACUGACGCUGAGGCACGAAAGCGUGGGGAGCAAACAGG